GCAUCAGUGAGGUAUAUCCUUAUCUGUUGUCUUAGAAUUAAGACUUCAGACCAUGAUGUUUGGAUUCUAUGAAUUUGUGAUUAUAUUCAACAUUUAUCAAGGAAAAGCAACACCUUCAUGAAUCUUGUCUGCU